rnacentral:lncRNA from 1 species
GCAAAACUUGGUUUUGUGAAAGUAAAGGCUGCUUUCUAUAAUAACACUUAGUUGUCUUGACUCUGAAUUACUCUGAGGCCAGAUGCUGCAGGCCUAUGGCAAUUAACACUCAAUUGUUAAAAGUAGAGGGAUUAAGUAAAGGAUUUAUCCUUUCUUAGGUCAAGCUGCCAGGAGUUCUCACAGACUAGGCUGGUUAACUCUUUGUGAACCAGAAAAGAAAGAAGAAGUCACUCAUACAGAAAACAUCACACUAGAUCAGGCAGAAAAUGGCUACAUCAUCUUUAUUUAUUGCUUUCAGUCUUUUAUAUCCUUAAUACAAUGGAUUCUCUGUGUAAGAAAGAUUUACCUCAUAGAUAAAAUGUUACAUAAAGGUGAGUCACAGAAAAAUGUUGAUAUUAAGUUUAAAGCAGUGUUUUGUUCUUUAAGCUCAUUUUAAGUUCAAAGCAACAGUUUCUCAUAGCCUUGUCUUAUCAUAGGCACACCUGUGGCUUCAUCCUUGGACCUGAAUGCUUUUCCUUGAACACAAAUUUGUCCCAAUUCUAUAUCUCUUUUUGAUGUAAUUAUGAAAACUCAUUGUAUUUCUUACUAAUGCAGCCUUUACUUACUAUUAUGAGGAGUGGCACAUUAUAGUCUUGAUUUUAUCUUUAUUACAUCUUUCUAGCAAAACGACUAAAACCAUUUGUUAAAAUUUUCUCCCUAAGAUCAAAUCAGGGAUUAGCAAUUCAUCUAAACAGCAUUAAUUCAUGAAAGUUCAUCUGUAUAUUGACCUGCAGAAAAAUUUGCCUAAUAAUGUAGGCUAAUACUUAGUAAUUGUAUUAUUUUAAUAAUGACAGGAAAGACAUAUCAAUAGCAAGAAGCAAUCCUGGGAUGAAGGAUUUCAUGUCAGGGCCUUGGUUCCCAGAGUCCAUCCAUCGCAGAUCAUGUAAAAAUGGUGGACCAUCUCAGGCUAGCCAUAGAAUCAUCAUCCACUAGCCAUAGGAUCUCCUAGAUGGCUUCUGACACACCAUAGAUGAGGUGAUCAUUCCCCAUCCUCCUUUUAGUGUCUUUCUUCCUUUUGCUUCUGCUUUCUUCAUAGCUUCUUCCAUGUAGAGUAUUUACAUUACUAUGAAAAGAAGGCAGGAAGCAUAGCAUUAUAGAAGAAAAGGGAUACAUUGUUAGGCUUAGUUUUAAGUGAUUUAAUGUAGACAUUGAAGUCAAAGUCAAUGAAGAAUUGGUUAAUAUCUUAUUGGCAGUGAAUGCCGUGGUGUGAUCAAUGUUUUAGAAAGAGCUGUAAAGGAGAUUUGAAUCCCUUGAUGACAUUCAAUGAAAAAGACUUAUCUUCUAUGGAGAAGCCGAAGAUCUCGGAUAAAAAAAAACAAUGAGGGGAUAAAGAUUAUGGGGUGUGUGUAAAAUGAUGGCAACUGGCUCUCUUUUUAAACAACAUACUUAGCUGUGCCCAAGUUGAAAUCUGUCAGAAAACAAAGAGGUUAGCUGUUUGUUCUCAGUGUCUCCCCUCUAAUUUGAAUCAAUGGAGAUUCAGCAGCUUUUCUUUCUCAGCCCGCACAAACACAACACAGAUUUAUUCCAUAUCCACUAGUGCUUACUCUGAAGUGUCUCAGGGUGACUACAGUUCAUUUUUUCACUUCACAUUGAUCAAAAUUAUAACUCCUGCAAACACUCAGAACUCAGUCUAGUAUGAUGCUUGUAUAUGAAGGAGUGUCCCUAUCUACACCAUAGGAUAAAGUGACCUGGACAGCCCCAGGCUCCACACGUCUCUGGAAUCAUCAGGAGAUGAGAACCUAGGCUCUGAAGGCUAUAACAGCCUAGGUUCUACAUCUGUCCUUCAUAGGCCAAUUAAACAAGUAUGUAAUAGUGAAAGGCAAGGGAGGGAGGUUUGUUCAGUGUGAACACACUGGGAAUAGGAUAAGAAGGUUCCCCUCCUUCCACCUAAAGUCUAUCUUUCAUGUUGUAACAUGAAUUUAGAUUUAAAUAAAGGACCAGAGGUACAUGUGGCUAAGCAGUAGGAAUCUACCCAUCAUCAGUGGACUCCUAUCUUUCUUAUGGGGUAGUCUGAUAAGUUUUCAGAACUGGAGACCAGUUCCUCUUCAGGUAGGCACUAGGCUUCCUUGGCCUUUUGCUCUCCUAUCAUGAGGUUCUAGGAAAAGUUCCAAUUUCUUGGGAUACAUCAUUGCUACGCCCAUUCCAGUGAAGUCUGCUUGACAGGCCGAAAGGCCUGGAAGCACUCACGAGGCAAAGAGUUUCAAGGAAAUUAUGCCUCCUGGAACCUUGGCAAUCCUUUGUGCUUCCUUUCAGUAUUGUUUUGUUAUAGGUGUCACCAAGCAAUGACUUGCCAAAUACCUAAGCAAAAUUGAACUUUGCUUCCUGGCCUUCACCAAUGCCCUAGGUAGUCCUUGAGCCGACACUGGGCUUGGAAUUCAGUAAGAAUGUUGCCUAUUCAGUGACAUUCAGAAUUGCCUCUAGUAUUGUAAGAGAGAUAGUGAAAGAAAUCACGUUUUACUAUCUACUACAUAGAGUUAGAAAUCUCAGGGCAAGCUAAGCAAUGUAAGUUUAGAAUUCUUAUUAUAGUUAUGUAUGGCAGACUAUAUUACUUAUUAGUAGAAAGUCCCCCCACACUAUCACUUAGAAUAAAAAGCCAAGUUGCUCCCAUAUACAGGAAUUUUCAAUGGUUUAGGAAGUAGAUCGGGCUGUGAUUUUAGAGUAUUGCAUUAUUCAUGAGAAGGUUAGCUAGAGCAGAACUCCUUAAUUAGAACCAUGGCUUGGGCAUGAAAGCCCUUGGCCCAGGAAUGUAAAGACCUCACACCUGGCUUCUAAGAAUAUAGAUGACCUUAGAUAAAGCUGACUUUGUCUCAGUUGUUUUAUUGCCCAGUUCUUUCCAGUCUUUGUGUUUGCAUUCCUCUGUUUUGUGUUAGAGUCAUUAAGUAUCCGGUAACCUCAUUGUACCUUGCUGAUGUGUCACCUAACUUCCCUAUUUUCUUCUGUAUAAAACGUGUGAUGCUCAAUUUGACAUUAUAUUCAGAUUCACC